GCCCUGGUAGCUCAAUUGGUUAGAGCGUCGGACUUUUACAGCAUACCUACAUAUGAUGGAGUCAUCCGAAGGCUGCGGGUUCGACCCCCGCCUGGGGCG